ensembl:lncRNA HULC hepatocellular carcinoma up-regulated long non-coding RNA
UUUCUAGGGCUACAUGAAUCAUCUGAAGCCUCUUCCGGAUGCUAUAAGCAGCCAUGGAUGGGCGGAGAAAAGAUCCUUGGGCCAGCGUCUCCCUUAGGGUCCUUCCUGCCAUGAUAUUGUCGUCUUCAAAGUGUCUUCUGUAAAGACUUCUUCAGACUGUCAAUAGGAAGACUGAUAAACUCAGGGAAAUAGUGCUAUGAUAGAUCAGUGAUUCUCAUACUUGAGCCUACAUCAGAACCCCCUGGAGAACCCGUGAAAACACAGAUUGCUGGGCCAACCCCCAGAGUAUCCAACUAGAAACCAGGAACCUUCAGUUACUCCAGCAUGAAGGAAUCAACUGCUAUAGAGACCACAUUCCCUGGAGUUUUAUAAACUAUGCUGGUCAUCAGAUCACUUUUAGACAUCAUGUAAGACAGGGUCUCACUCUGUUGCCCAGGUUGGAGUGCAAUGACAUGAUCAUGGUUCACCGCAGCCUGGCUCACUACUGCUUCACCUCCUGGGCUCAAAUGAUCCUCUCACCUAAGCCUCCUGAGGAGCUGGGACUACAGGCACACACCACCACACCCAGAUAAUAUAUUUUUAAAAUUUAUUAUUGGGACGGGGUCAUCCUAUGUUGCCCAAGUUAGUCUCAAACUCUUGAGCUCAAGUGAUCCUCCCACCUUGGCCUCCAAGGGUGCUGGGAUUGCAGGCCCAAGCCAUGACAUCUGGCCAUUUCUAAAUUCUUAAUGUGGAAUAUUUACAUUUUAUCGUUGGAAAGACAGCCUUCAAAGAUUAAUACUUAUUAAAUAAUAGAAUGUUCUUAGCAAACAAACAGUUAAUUUUUAAAAUGAAAAGUCAAGAUGAAAGAAAAAUAUUUCACAGAAUGUUAAUGAAGUGUGGGAUAAAUUUAGUAUCUUCAUAUAUUAACAUAAGAAGUAAUAAAAUGCAAUCACAAAAAUAGCCCUGGAAUUGAAUUGCAUGUUGGGAGUGAUGGUUUGAUGGCAACUCGGAAUACAAAAUGAGCAGAUUGAAGAGGUUCUAAUGUAUUCAGGGCCAGAGAAAUUAUUCUUUAAACUUUUCUUCCUCUUAGCUGUCUCCAUUAAUGUUCAUGGUCAGGUUGGCCUUUCGGAUAAAAGUGAGAUGAUGAACAUCAAAAUGCACAGAACCCUAUGGGACCACAUGGUGGUUACUCAAUACAUGUUUCUGAAUCUGAUUCUGAUAAAUAUAAGUCUAGUCUUUGAAAAAUUAACUAUCAGGGAAAGAAAGGGUCAGUAAGUUUUCUCUAUGGUGAGCCCAUCUUUUCCUUAUUUACUUAUUAUGUAUUAAACAGCUCCUAGGUGACAGGGCCUGUGCUAAGUGCUCAGUUCCUACCCUUAAUUAAAGACAGGCAUGCAAGGCUAUAAUUGUACCCACAUUCCUCUUGAGGUCACACCAGAGCUCUCUCCAGUGGGAAGAACUUUAAAUAGCCAAUCUCUAAUAAGCACAAGGGAGCCACAUCAUAGGAAAAAAUGUGAAAAGACAAUGGCAUUUUCCACUUCUUUACACCACCAACAAGGGGAAAUGGCUGAGCAGUGCGUCUUCCUCAAGAAAACGUUCCUUCAACUUUGAUAUCACUGUCAAUUGAAAAAUAUGACCAUAGAUUUCUUCCACUCUAGAAUCCAC